rnacentral:lncRNA from 1 species
GGUCCGGUAAGGGCCGAUUUUGGCCUCAAAUUUCAGGUUCAUCUAACGAAAUGUUUUGGACACUUUUUAAACACUUAAGUGUCUAUUUUUAUUGAUUCGAUUAGUUAAUGUGAAAGAUUUUAACUGAUUUAGUCAUUAAAAACGCUCUGAUUCAAGCUUAAAUAUGAAAAAUCUAUCAAAUAUGCCAAAAAACGUCACUUUUCAGAUGGUUUUUGUCAAAAAUGAAAGUGGCCGCAUCCGUGUUCAUCUUCAACCUUUAUAUAUGUUUUG